GUUGAACGGUACCAGGCCCUUUUGGGUGCUGACGAGUGACGCACGGGUGAGUAACGCGUAGGUAAUCUACCUAUUGGACUGGGAUAGCUCUACGAAAGUAGGAUUAAAACCAGAUACAUUUACCUAAUCUUAAGAUUAAAUAAAGAAAUGUCUAAGCCGAUAGAUGAGCCUGCGUUAGAUUAGUUAGUAGGUGUGGUAAUGGCGCACCUAGGCAUCGAUCUAUAGCCGAGUUGAGAGGCUAAUCGGCCACAUUGGAACUGAGACACGGUCCAGACUCCUACGGGAGGCAGCAGCUAAGAAUCUUCCGCAAUGGUUGAGAGACUGACGGAGCGACGCCGCAUGAAUGAUGAAGGCCUUUUAGGUUGUAAAAUUCUUUUAUAAUAGAUGAAAGUAUAGAUAUAGUUUAUGCUGACCGUAUAUUAUGAAUAAGGUCCGGCUAACUACGUGCCAGCAGCCGCGGUAAAACGUAGGGACCUAGCGUUGUUCGGAAUUACUGGGCGUAAAGGGUAUGCAGGCUGUUAUAUAAGUCAGAUGUGAAAGACCCGGGCUCAACCUUGGAAUUGCGUCUGAUACUGUAUAACUUGGGUAGCUGAGAGGAAGUCGGAAUUCCUGGUGUAGGGGGUGAAAUCUAUAGAUAUCAGGAAGAACACCAGUAGCGUAGGCGGACUUCUGGCAGCUUACCGACGCUGAGGUACGAAAGGUAGGGUAGCAAACAGGAUUAGAGACCCUGGUAGUCCUACCUGUAAACGUUGUAUACUAGGUGGUGGAAGUUUAAUAUCUUUCUCUGCCGGAGUCAACGCAUUAAGUAUACCGCCUGGGGAGUAUGCCGGCAACGGUGAAACUCAAAGGAAUUGACGGGGCCCCGCACAAGCAGUGGAGCAUGUUGAUUAAUUCGAUGAUACGCGAGGAACCUUACCAGGUCUUGACAUAUAUCUGACGCACAUAGAGAUAUGUGCUCUCUUCGGAGCAGAUAUACAGGUGCUGCAUGGUUGUCGUCAGCUCGUGCCGUGAGGUGUUGGGUUAAGUCCCGCAACGAGCGCAACCCCUAUUCUUUGUUGCUAACGGGUAAUGCUGAGCACUCGAAGGAAACUGCCGGUGACAAACCGGAGGAAGGUGGGGAUGAGGUCA
rnacentral:rRNA from 1 species